AGUAACACAUGGGAAUCUGCCUUGAGGUGGGGGAUAACCUGGGGAAACUCAGGCUAAUACCGCAUGAUCUCUUCGGAGCAAAGUGGGGGACCUUCGGGCCUCACGCCUUGAGAUGAGCCCAUGUCUGAUUAGCUAGUUGGUGGGGUAAAGGCCUACCAAGGCGACGAUCAGUAGCCGGCCUGAGAGGGUGGACGGCCACACUGGGACUGAGACACGGCCCAGACUCCUACGGGAGGCAGCAGUGGGGAAUAUUGGACAAUGGGCGAAAGCCUGAUCCAGCAAUG
rnacentral:rRNA from 1 species